UUUGCUGACGAGCGGCGNNNNNNNGAGUAAUGCUUGGGAACAUGCCUUGAGGUGGGGGACANCNNNUUGGAAACGACUGCUAAUACCGCAUAAUGUCUACGGACCAAAGGGGGCUUCGGCUCUCGCCUUUAGAUUGGCCCAAGUGGGAUUAGCUAGUUGGUGAGGUAAUGGCUCACCAAGGCAACGAUCCCUAGCUGGUUUGAGAGGAUGAUCAGCCACACUGGGACUGAGACACGGCCCAGACUCCUACGGGAGGCAGCAGUGGGGAAUAUUGCACAAUGGGCGCAAGCCUGAUGCAGCCAUGCCGCGUGUGUGAAGAAGGCCUUCGGGUUGUAAAGCACUUUCAGUCAGGAGGAAAGGUUAGUAGUUAAUACCUGCUAGCUGUGACGUUACUGACAGAAGAAGCACCGGCUAACUCCGUGCCAGCAGCCGCGGUAAUACGGAGGGUGCGAGCGUUAAUCGGAAUUACUGGGCGUAAAGCGUACGCAGGCGGUUUGUUAAGCGAGAUGUGAAAGCCCCGGGCUCAACCUGGGAACUGCAUUUCGAACUGGCAAACUAGAGUGUGAUAGAGGGUGGUAGAAUUUCAGGUGUAGCGGUGAAAUGCGUAGAGAUCUGAAGGAAUACCGAUGGCGAAGGCAGCCACCUGGGUCAACACUGACGCUCAUGUACGAAAGCGUGNGGAGCANACAGGAUUAGAUACNCUGGUAGUCNACGCCGUANACGAUGUCUACUANAAGCUCGNANCCUCNGCUCU
rnacentral:rRNA from 1 species